UAUGGUAAUUGCCAGCAGCCGCGGUAAAACGUAGGUCACAAGCGUUGUCCGGAAUUACUGGGUGUAAAGGGAGCGCAGGCGGGAAGACAAGUUGGAAGUGAAAUCUAUGGGCUCAACCCAUAAACUGCUUUCAAAACUGUUUUUCUUGAGUAGUGCAGAGGUAGGCGGAAUUCCCGGUGUAGCGGUGGAAUGCGUAGAUAUCGGGAGGAACACCAGUGGCGAAGGCGGCCUACUGGGCACCAACUGACGCUGAGGCUCGAAAGUGUGGGUAGCAAACAGG
rnacentral:rRNA from 1 species